rnacentral:rRNA from 1 species
AGUGAACGCUGGCGGUAGGCCUAACACAUGCAAGUCGAACGGCAGCACAGUAAGAGCUUGCUCUUACGGGUGGCGAGUGGCGGACGGGUGAGGAAUACAUCGGCAUCUACUUUUUCGUGGGGGAUAACGUAGGGAAACUUACGCUAAUACCGCAUACGACAUACGGGUGAAAGCAGGGGAUCUUCGGACCUUGCGCGAUUGAAUGAGCCGAUGUCGGAUUAGCUAGUUGGCGGGGUAACGGCCCACCAAGGCGACGAUCCGUAGCUGGUCUGAGAGGAUGAUCAGCCACACUGGAACUGAGACACGGUCCAGACUCCUACGGGAGGCAGCAGUGGGGAAUACUGCACAAUGGGCGCAAGCCUGAUCCAGCCACACCGCGUGAGUGAAGAAGGUCUUCGGGUUGUAAAACUCUUUUGUUGGGAAAGAACAGCUGCGUGAGAAACCCCGGCCGUUCUGACGGUACCCAAACAAAAAGCACCGGCUAACUUCGUG